rnacentral:rRNA from 1 species
GACGUAGGGCGCAAGCGUUGUCCGGAUUUAUUGGGCGUAAAGAGCUCGUAGGCGGCCUGUCGCGUCGACCGUGAAAACCCGCAGCUCAACUGCGGGCUUGCGGUCGAUACGGGCAGGCUAGAGUGUGGUAGGGGAGAUCGGAAUUCCUGGUGUAGCGGUGAAAUGCGCAGAUAUCAGGAGGAACACCGGUGGCGAAGGCGGAUCUCUGGGCCAUUACUGACGCUGAGGAGCGAAAGCGUGGGGAGCGAACAGG